CUGGCUGCACCCAGCAGCACCUCACUGGGACAGAGCUGUUGCUCAGCGCACUGAGGUGCCAUUGAUUAUUAAGGUCUAUAAGCUUUGCAGAUAAAGCAGCCGAGGUUUCUACAACAUCAUCUGUCAUCUGUGCUACAGCCUCCAGGUAGCAAAAAGCUGGGAAUCCCACCAGAUGGAAUUUUUGACUGUCUGUCAUCUGCUGUGAAGAGCUGGCAGAGUAGCAGCAAAUUUCAGCUGGAGCUGGCUUGGCCAUCUGCACUAGACAUCCUCCAGGUUCAGAAUCCCUCCCAGUCCCAGCUCAGGCAUAUCCACCUUGGCCAGUGGUCCUCACCUGGAAACAGGAGUCACGUAGUUGCCUGGGAAGACGCCGGACAUUCCGCUCCUCAGAGACGUCCCCUUGAACCAGCCGUCCUGGCACUUCUCAAUGACCCGGUACAUCUCACCUUUGCGGAGCUCCAGCUCGUCAUUCUUCUGAGGCUUGUAGGCGUACAGGGCUAGGUAGCUGCAGGAGGAGGUCACACCAGAAGAAAACACACAGCUGAGGUCAACUACUGUCUGUCCCACCUUGACUCCAACCCCGCAGAGCAGAAAGCGAGCAGAAACACUGCUCAGAAAUGGUGGUUAAAAAAGGACAUCAUCACAGCACACCAAACACAGAGCAACAGAGACAAGGUCAACUGGACGCUAAGAAAAUACAGGAAUAACUAACCAGAUUAAAGUCAGGAGGCAGUGAAAGGAUAUUAGAACAAAUGGCGAAACACUUACAGAAAGCGCAUUUACACUACAAAGUGCAGCAGAAUGCUCUUUGGCUCAAGGAUAGAUGAGAAGAGGCUUGCUGCCCACCUUAGAGCAGUGAACUAGAGAAAUAAUGAAAACUAUAACCAUUGUGAUUGUAGGCUUGUAGCCAAUAAAAAUGAUAGAUCGCUUUUUACUUGUGCUCUUCAGGAAAUAAAACUGAGGAAUAAAUCCUGUUAGUUUUU